rnacentral:rRNA from 1 species
AUUAGCAUGCAUGUCUCAGUACAUGCCGCAUUAAGGUGAAACCGCGAAUGGCUCAUUAAAUCAGUUAUGGUUUCUUAGAUCAUACCUACAUUUACUUGGAUAACUGUGGUAAUUCUAGAGCUAAUACAUGCAAACAGAUUCCGACCAGAGAUGGUAGGAAUGCUUUUAUUAGAUCAAAACCAAUCGGUGGCGGAUGGCUCGUCUGUCCGUCCAUCGUUCGUUUUGGUGACUCUGAAUAACUUUGUGCUGAUCGCAUGGUCAUCUAGCACCGGCGACGCAUCUUUCAAAUGUCUGCCUUAUCAACUGUCGAUGGUAGGUUCUGCGCCUACCAUGGUUGUAACGGGUAACGGGGAAUCAGGGUUCGAUUCCGGAGAGGGAGCCUGAGAAACAGCUACCACAUCCAAGGAAGGCAGCAGGCGCGCAAAUUACCCACUCCCGGCACGGGGAGGUAGUGACGAAAAAUAACGAUACGGGACUCAUCCGAGGCCCCGUAAUCGGAAUGAGUACACUUUAAAUCCUUUAACGAGGACCAAUUGGAGGGCAAGUCUGGUGCCAGCAGCCGCGGUAAUUCCAGCUCCAAUAGCGUAUAUUAAAGUUGUUGCGGUUAAAAAGCUCGUAGUUGAAUCUGUGUGUCACAGUGUCGGUUCACCGCUCGCGGUGUUUAACUGGCAUUAUGUGGUACGUCCUAUCGGUGGGCUUAGCUCCUCGCGGGCGGUCCAACUAAUAUCCCAUCGCGGUGCUCUUCACUGAGUGUCGAGGUGGGCCGAUACGUUUACUUUGAACAAAUUAGAGUGCUUAAAGCAGGCUACCUUCGCCUGAAUACUGUGUGCAUGGAAUAAUGGAAUAGGACCUCGGUUCUAUUUUGUUGGUUUUCGGAGCCCCGAGGUAAUGAUUAAUAGGGACAGAUGGGGGGCAUUCGUAUUGCGACGUUAGAGGUGAAAUUCUUGGAUCGUCGCAAGACGGACAGAAGCGAAGCAUUUGCCAAAAUGUUUUUCAUUA